rnacentral:rRNA from 1 species
GACGAACGCUGGCGGCGUGCUUAACACAUGCAAGUCGAACGGAAAGGCCCUGCUUUUGUGGGGUGCUCGAGUGGCGAACGGGUGAGUAACACGUGAGUAACCUGCCCUUGACUUUGGGAUAACUUCAGGAAACUGGGGCUAAUACCGGAUAGGAGCUCCUGCUGCAUGGUGGGGGUUGGAAAGUUUCGGCGGUUGGGGAUGGACUCGCGGCUUAUCAGCUUGUUGGUGGGGUAGUGGCUUACCAAGGCUUUGACGGGUAGCCGGCCUGAGAGGGUGACCGGCCACAUUGGGACUGAGAUACGGCCCAGACUCCUACGGGAGGCAGCAGUGGGGAAUAUUGCACAAUGGGCGGAAGCCUGAUGCAGCAACACCGCGUGCGGGAUGACGGCCUUCGGGUUGUAAACCGCUUUCGCCUGUGACGAAGCGUGAGUGACGGUAAUGGGUAAAGAAGCACCGGCUAACUACGUGCCAGCAGCCGCGGUGAUACGUAGGGUGCGAGCGUUGUCCGGAUUUAUUGGGCGUAAAGGGCUCGUAGGUGGUUGAUCGCGUCGGAAGUGUAAUCUUGGGGCUUAACCCUGAGCGUGCUUUCGAUACGGGUUGACUUGAGGAAGGUAGGGGAGAAUGGAAUUCCUGGUGGAGCGGUGGAAUGCGCAGAUAUCAGGAGGAACACCAGUGGCGAAGGCGGUUCUCUGGGCCUUUCCUGACGCUGAGGAGCGAAAGCGUGGGGAGCGAACAGGCUUAGAUACCCUGGUAGUCCACGCUGUAAACGGUGGGUACUAGGUGUGGGGUCCAUUCCACGGGUUCCGUGCCGUAGCUAACGCUUUAAGUACCCCGCCUGGGGAGUACGGCCGCAAGGCUAAAACUCAAAGGAAUUGACGGGGCCCCGCACAAGCGGCGGAGCAUGCGGAUUAAUUCGAUGCAACGCGUAGAACCUUACCUGGGUUUGACAUGGAUCGGGAGUGCUCAGAGAUGGGUGUGCCUCUUUUGGGGUCGGUUCACAGGUGGUGCAUGGCUGUCGUCAGCUCGUGUCGUGAGAUGUUGGGUUAAGUCCCGCAACGAGCGCAACCCUUGUUCACUGUUGCCAGCACGUUAUGGUGGGGACUCAGUGGAGACCGCCGGGGUCAACUCGGAGGAAGGUGGGGAUGACGUCAAGUCAUCAUGCCCCUUAUGUCCAGGGCUUCACGCAUGCUACAAUGGCUGGUACAGAGAGUGGCGAGCCUGUGAGGGUGAGCGAAUCUCGGAAAGCCGGUCUCAGUUCGGAUUGGGGUCUGCAACUCGACCUCAUGAAGUCGGAGUCGCUAGUAAUCGCAGAUCAGCAACGCUGCGGUGAAUACGUUCCCGGG